UUUUUAUAAAUUUUAUGUAUAAAAGCGAUGCAAACCUAAAUUAGGUCAUCCCCUAUUCUUUGUAUCAUUGUUUCAUUCUAUUACGUUAUCAGCGCCUAGCCGCCACAAGGCAGGAACUUCAGCUACGUUUAUAUGGAUCUUAUUUAUCUUUUCUUUCAAUUUUUGACUCUAUAUAUUAUGUUUUCGUAUAAAUAUUCUGAAUUAUGUCUUUUUUACAUAUAUAGGUAGUUUUUCCUUAUUAAUUUUGGUUGCAAUGUUUUUAUUUAUUUUUUUAAGUUUUACCGCUAACUUGACCAUUUACUACUCGCUGACAAUAUAUAGUAUGUUUAUAAUUAUGUAAUACCAGCUCAAUUCUCUCCACAUGUAACAUGGAAAAAAAAAACUAAAGAAUAUGAACUCAAUCCUUCAGAAAAACAUAAAAAAAAGCGGUUUUUGGAAUACAAGCCAUAAUGAACAGUCUACAUCCUGAGAUCAAGUCAAGAAUUGAAGAGUUACAAGUGACCGCUAUAGAACAAGCGAUUCAAAAGAUAUAAAUGCCUUUGAAAGGAAGCCACCCGUAACAUUCAUAAGCAAAAUACAUGAAAUAUGUCACGCAAAAAAGAGGGAUGACGAGCCCUAUACAACAAUUCGCCAACCGUUUAAACCACUUUUCUAGUCUAAUAGAAGAACAGUGCACAAUUAAAAGCCUGCUACCUCAUAAUAGCGAAAUUACGAACUUACAUAAAAUCAAAGCUCUCACCCACAGGGUCGGAAAAGAAUUUAAAGACGACGCUAUAUCACUGGAACAAUAUUACAAAAAUAAUCCAGAAAAUUUGGAUUACAGUUUGCACUGAAUGCCUUAUUACUAGCGGAAAACAGGCAUAAAGUUGAAAACGAUCCGAAUGCCUUACCCCUAGAUACAUCCCGUAUUCAAUAAACUUACAUGGAAAACAGAUUUCCAAAUUCAUUAAAGGUCGAGCGCCAUCCUGUAAAGAUUGUUAAGGCCGACUUUAAGAUCUCAAUUCCCAUACCUUAAGCAAAAUGCAAAUUUUAUAAAAUAAUUAGCCACACUGAAAAGGCAUGGCCUACUAAGAAAUAGCACAACUUGAAUUAUAACUCCGAAAAAUUCGAACCCAGGGAUAAAGAUGGUUGUUGACAUUGGGGCCUAUCCUCAUUUGAUCAAAGAAAGAGAGCUAUUGACUGAUAUCCGAUGUAAUGAACACGUUAUUAAUACAAUAAUGAUAGCACUGAGACUUACCAAACCGGUAUUUUUAAUUUUAGAUUGGUAAAGCUAUUUAUGAGAAAAAUUUCAAACAUAACCUGAGCUUUUUAGGUAAAUUAAAUGAAAAGGAUUUAUUAUAUGUUUUAAAAAGAAUAGAGUUUUUAUUAAUAAUAGAGACAAAGUUAUUGCUCAAGGUAGAUAAGGAAAUGGCUUAUUUCUUAUAAACGGUCAUAGCUACAAUAAUACAGCAACAACCACGAUGUCUGAUACCAUGAAGUCCAAGUCCGUUUUUCCUAGAGGACACUUCAAGUACGGGCGUAUUAGCUAUCCUUAUUUGAAAAGAAUUUUUCCUGGUAUAUCAUUUUAAAAAUCAAUAAUGGGACAAACCGUCAAUUGAGGGGCGCAAGUAUGUUAUAAUCGCAAGGGUGCUAGAUCUAAACGAGUCACCACUAUCUUUGCGAAGUCUAAACAUAAAAUAAAAAAAUCUAAUUAUUCAAAGGGGUAGAAGACCCAAUAAAUACAUAAAAAAUUUAAAAAUAAAUGGAACUACGGCAGCUGCUGUAUUUGAGGGAAAUAAGAACCGAUAAGGGCAGUGAUUCCGUUAAUGAUAAACUUGUCCAAGAACUACUUGUCCACAGUACCUAAGGACACACUGCAAUAUAGCUGAGUGAAAGAAUCAGUCAGGCGUUACGUAGCAUGACACGUUGCAUACUGAAACAGUCCAAGUAACCAGAAGUGUUCUGGAGCGAAGUUUUACGAGACGCGGUCUCCACAUUAAACAUUGUGCCAAAAAAGGAUGAAAAAAGUCGCCUAUUAAAAUUUUUGGAUUUCGAUCCCGUGGAUUAAGUUACUAUAAAUCUCUAGACUUUAAAAUUCCGUUAAAUGAUCCUGGAUUAAAAAAAAACCCCAAAAUCGGGCUCUAGAUGGCUUCUUUCCAAAUCGAUAGUUUUUGCUAAGGAUGAAUACACUAUACUUAAUUUAACAACGGAAAAAAUCGUAAGUUCUAAAGACAACUAUUUUCUGGACAUCUUUCACUUUGAUAUUGCUAAAUACCUCCUUUACUUUCUCUUAAAGUAUGACGAAGUUUUUUUUCAAGGACAACAACUUUCCAGUGCUACUACUGAUACUAAGUAUACAGCAAUAAUACGCAAAUGAAGUGAGGAUGAUUGCGUCACAAAUUUUUACAUUAUCCAAAUAGGGCUUUAUCGUAACAAGGACAAGUUGUUGCUUUUUUAGCGGUCUACCCGGCGAAUACUCCAAGUCAUUAAUAUCAUAUACUUUGAAUCUUAGUCUCCUGAUCAGGGCGCUGUUAUAGCGAUCCUUGAUAAGGAAUGAAAAAUGGCUAUACAGGUUGACAAGUAAAUACUUUGCUUGCUGCUGGGAUUGGUCGCCAGAGUAGACACGAAAAAAGAGAAAUAUUGAGAAGAGCAAGGUCCAAUGGCAUGUGUGCGGACACUGCCGACUGUAUGGUUCCUGCCGAAUUUAAGGAUGUUACUGUACUAGUUCUAGAUUUGGGUUAAAGUCCCAAGUUACCGUUGAUAGCGGCGCAAACCUUAAUAUACUCAAUGAUCAGCUUUUCUAAACUUUACUUUCUAAGCGAAAGCAAUCAUGAUUGACAAUGUAACCUUUGUAUACACAACUUAUAAAAAAAAAAGCAGUUAAAUUUUGAAUAUGGAACUGAAAGCCUAUAAUUGCAAGAAUGUUAAGGAUGGGGACUCACAGCAUCCCGAAUUCGGAUUAACUUUUACGACUACGACUGGUCCCAGCAUAAUUUCACCGGAACUUUAAAUAUCGUUCUGGAAAUAUGAAGGGUUUCAAGAACAUUAACGGCAGUGGCAAAAAAUAGGCACUUUAUUGUAAUAGUAAGCAAACUUGUCGAAGAUAUACUCCUGAUCUAUUUUUCUUUCUAAAUACUCUUUGGUCAAUGCUUUUUUAAUGAUCUGGAGGGUCCUUUCAGCAAUUUCAUUGGUGCCGAAUAACGGGGCAUAUGGUUGACACACUUCUUUGCGAAGGCUUGAUAGAACGCCCAUAUUAACCCUUAAAACUUGUACAAAUUCAAUCUUAAAGCAAAGAACUAGAAAUACAUUCCUUGUUUGAUCUCCUGAGAAGUUUAUAAGAUGUAUUCCCGUGAGCAAAGUUAAAAAUAAAUGAGCUCACUGUA